CGAUCCCAGGUCAGCGGA
rnacentral:rRNA from 1 species